UACGAAGGGGGCUAGCGUUGCUCGGAAUCACUGGGCGUAAAGGGUGCGUAGGCGGGUCUUUAAGUCAGGGGUGAAAUCCUGGAGCUCAACUCCAGAACUGCCUUUGAUACUGAGGAUCUUGGAGUACGGGAGAGGUGAGUGGAACUGCGAGUGUAGAGGUGAAAUUCGUAGAUAUUCGCAAGAACACCGGUGGCGAAGGCGGUU
rnacentral:rRNA from 1 species